UACGUAGGGGGCGAGCGUUGUCCGGAGUUACUGGGCGUAAAGCGCACGCAGGCGGUCUGCUAAGUUUGGAGUGACAGUUGGUGGCUUAACUGCCAAAGUGCUUCGAAAACUGACAGACUUGAGGGCUUCAGAGGGACACGGAAUUCCGGGUGGAGUGCUGAAAUGCGUAGAGAUCCGGAGGAACACCAAAGGCGAAGGCAGUGUCCUGGGGAGUACCUGACGCUCAGGUGCGAAAGCCAGGGGAGCGAACGGG
rnacentral:rRNA from 1 species